rnacentral:rRNA from 1 species
CCCUUAGAUGUUCUGGGCUGCACGCGUGCUACACUGAUAUUGCCAAUAUGUCAUUCUUAUCCGAAAUGGAUUGGGUAAUCAAGUAAUGAAAUUUCAUGCUUGGAAUCGGUAAUUGCAAUUUUAUCGUGAACGAGGAAUUCCUAGUAAGCACUAGUCAUCAACUAAUGUUGAUUAUGUCCCUGCCCUUUGUACACACCGCCCGUCGCUACUACUGAUUGGGUGUUCAAGUGAGAUGCUUAGACCCUUGUUGCAUGGUUCAUUAUUGUGCUCCGAAAGGAAAAAGUUUCAAGCUUGAGUGUCUAGAGGAAGUAAAAGUCGUAACA